GACGAACGCUGGCGGCGUGCUUAACACAUGCAAGUCGAACGGAAAGGCCCUGCUUUUGUGGGGUGCUCGAGUGGCGAACGGGUGAGUAACACGUGAGUAACCUGCCCUUGACUUUGGGAUAACUUCAGGAAACUGGGGCUAAUACCGGAUAGGAGCUCCUGCUGCAUGGUGGGGGUUGGAAAGUUUCGGCGGUUGGGGAUGGACUCGCGGCUUAUCAGCUUGUUGGUGGGGUAGUGGCUUACCAAGGCUUUGACGGGUAGCCGGCCUGAGAGGGUGGCCGGCAACAUUGGGACUGAGAUACGGCCCAGACUCCUACGGGAGGCAGCGGUGGGGAAUAUUGCACAAUGGGAGGAAGCCUGAUGCAGCAACGCCGCGUGCGGGAUGACGGCCUUCGGGUUGUAAACCGCUUUCGCCUGUGACGAAGCGUGAGUGACGGUAAUGGAUAAAGAAGCACCGGCUAACUACGUG
rnacentral:rRNA from 1 species